rnacentral:rRNA from 1 species
GACAGAGGGUGCAAACGUUGUUCGGAAUUACUGGGCGUAAAGCGCGUGUAGGCUGCUUCGAAAGUCGGAUGUGAAAGCCCUGGGCUCAACCUAGGAAGUGCAUUCGAAACUUCGGAGCUGGAGUUCUGGAGAGGAAGGCGGAAUUCUCGGUGUAGAGGUGAAAUUCGUAGAUAUCGGGAGGAACACCGGUAGCGAAGGCGGCGACCUGGGUCGAUACUGACGCUGAGGUGCGAAAGCGUGGGGAGCAAACAGG